rnacentral:rRNA from 1 species
UACGGGGGGCNGCAGUGGGGAAUAUUGCACAAUGGGCGCAAGCCUGAUGCAGCCAUGCCGCGUGUAUGAAGAAGGCCUUAGGGUUGUAAAGUACUUUCAGUUGGGAGGAAGGCGUUGAUGCUAAUAUCAUCAGCGAUUGACGUUACCAACAGAAGAAGCACCGGCUAACUCCGUGCCAGCAGCCGCGGUAAUACGGAGGGUGCAAGCGUUAAUCGGAAUUACUGGGCGUAAAGCGCACGCAGGCGGUUGAUUAAGUUAGAUGUGAAAUCCCCGGGCUUAACCUGGGAAUGGCAUCUAAGACUGGUCAACUAGAGUCUUGUAUAGGGGGGUAGAAUUCCAUGUGUAACGGUGAUAUGCGUAGAGAUGUGGAGGAAUACCGGUGGCGAAGGCGGCCCCCUGGACAAA